AAUUUGAUGCCUCGGAAGUGGCGUCCCCGACACAAUGGCAGCUAAGCGUAGCGGUACAAGACCCAUGGAGUAGGUUUCCACGACUGCACACUAGAAUUGGAAAUACCGAACUGGUGUUUACACGGCCAAAGAGAAACAGAUUCGAGAGAGACCAAAAUUUGAACAAAUGGUUCUAGGAAAGGGAUGAGUGGAAACAGUCGGAGAUUGUUUGCUCAACAGUCAACUAGUCCCAGAUAUCCGCUUUGCGGGAUAAUCAAUGCUCCUUCGAGAAAUAUGAUUAUAAAAAUAGGGCCGUACUUGUCAGAUGUAACAUGUAAUGUAAAAACGUAUCGUUCGUUUGUUACAACUACGACGUAGCUCGAAAGACAAAUAUUUUCAAUUGGAAUCACAAAAACUUGAUAAUAAUUUUAAUUGCGUAUAAUUUAACCUACUGAUUACAAAGAAACACAAGUAUAAUUAGCUCUUCACUCAUUGUAUUGCACUCUUAUCAAAUUUCUCCUUUUGUUUACAGACAAUUAAAAAAUGUCGACUUUGUUAUAGUUGCGACAAAUGAGAAAACGAUAUAUAUUUAUAGCCAAAGAUCUAAAUUCUUGGAAUUAAAGUUCCCACAAAAAUUCGUUUAAAUAGACAUCGAUUUAAUAAGGUAAAUUAAACUAUAACCUGAAUUAAUGAUAAACUCUUAUUUAAUUUUUAUGCUAGCCAGAUAAAAAUACAUAACAAUUACAUAUACAGUUAUAUCAACACACUCUGUAGCGUCUUGUGCUAAAUAAUAUUUUUCAUAAAGUAUAUUAUUUUUAUAAAUAUAUUAACAAUGAAUUGAUAUAUAUCAACAUUUAAGUAACUCCUCUCCCUCUCCCCUCAUCUAAUAAACAUGUAAUCCCAGUACCAAAGUAUCAAUGUAAAUAAGAAAUAUAUUGUUCUUUUCUGUUCUUACAAGAAUUAGAAAUUACUUGACAAGUGUAGUGCUACAUAUAAAGAAAAUGUCUGAUUUGUUUCAUUAAUGGGACAAUAUUAAUUACGACGAUAAUUUCGAAAGGUAAAAAAAGGUUCAAAAUAAUAUUACAGUAAUUUUAUAAUUCAAUGCGAAAAGACAUUGAUUACUUGCAAAAAAUUAGUUAUGUAUCUUUAUCUUUUUAUUAUGCAUCUAGAGAUUGUCGGAGUUGGUUGCAUUCAACUGCGUUGUCGAAUAUACAUAUAUUAUAUAUAUAUCGAAUAUGUGUAACAAUGUUUAAAAAGUAUAGUAACUCAGUCAUCCAUUUUGACAAUUGCUAAUUGUACAGUUUGUGUCUUUAAUUAAUCGUUUAACAAAAAAUAAAUUUAAUAAAAACUUAAAACCAAC